rnacentral:rRNA from 1 species
CAAGUCUUGACAUCCCCCUGACGCAUGCAGAAAUGUGUGUUUCUUUCGGGACAGGGGAGACAGGUGGUGCAUGGUUGUCGUCAGCUCGUGUCGUGAGAUGUUGGGUUAAGUCCCGCAACGAGCGCAACCCUUAUCCUUAGUAGCCAGCGGCGAGGCCGGGCACUCUAGGGAGACUGCCAGGGACAACCUGGAGGAAGGCGGGGAUGACGUCAAAUCAUCAUGCCCCUUAUGAUUUGGGCUACACACGUGCUACAAUGGCGUAAACAAAGGGAAGCGAAGGCGUGAGCUGGAGCGAACCCCAAAAAUAACGUCCCAGUUCGGAUUGUAGUCUGCAACCCGACUACAUGAAGCUGGAAUCGCUAGUAAUCGCGGAUCAGAAUGCCGCGGUGAAUACGUUCCC